GAGGAAUAUUGCGCAAUGGGGGAAACCCUGACGCAGCAACGCCGCGUGAGUGAAGAAGGCUUUCGGGUUGUAAAGCUCUGUCGGGUGGGAAGAAACCUCUUUAGGUGAAUAGUCUAGAGAGCUGACGGUACCACCGAAGGAAGCACCGGCUAACUCCGUGCCAGCAGCCGCGGUAAGACGGAGGGUGCAAGCGUUGUUCGGAAUCACUGGGCGUAAAGCGCGUGUAGGCGGUCUGAUCAGUCGAGUGUGAAAGCCCGAGGCUCAACUUCGGAAGUGCACUCGAAACUGUCAGGCUUGAGUACGGGAGAGGGAAGUGGAAUUCCUGGUGUAGAGGUGAAAUUCGUAGAUAUCAGGAGGAACACCGGUGGCGAAGGCGGCUUCCUGGACCGAUACUGACGCUGAGACGCGAAAGCGUGGGGAGCAAACA
rnacentral:rRNA from 1 species